rnacentral:rRNA from 1 species
UCAAGUAGAAAAGGGCGCAUGGUGAAUGCCUAGGCACUAGAAGCCGAUGAAGGACGUGACGAACCACGAAAGGCUUCGGGGAGCAGUAAGUAAGCGAUGAUCCGGAGAUAUCCGAAUGGGGGAACCCAAUACCGCGAGGUAUUAUCAAGAGCUGUUAAGGCUGUUGAAGGAAGACGCAGUGAACUGAAACAUCUAAGUAGCUGCAGGAAGAGAAAGAAAAAUCGAUUUCCCAAGUAGCGGCGAGCGAACAGGAAAGAGCCCAAACCAGCUGGCUUGCCAGUUGGGGUAGUAGGACUGCAAUAAAGUACUUGAAGCGAUAGCAGAAUUAUCUGGAAAGAUAAGCCAGAGAGGGUGAGAGCCCCGUAAGCGAAAUUGCAGAGAGACUUAGCAGGAUCCUGAGUAGGUCGGGACACGAGGAAUCCCGAUUGAAACCGCGAGGACCAUCUCGCAAGGCUAAAUACUAACUAGUGACCGAUAGUGAACCAGUACCGUGAGGGAAAGGUGAAAAGAACCCCGGAAGGGGAGUGAAAGAGAACCUGAAACCGUGUGCCUACAAGUAGUCAAAGCACAUUAAAGUGUAAUGGCGUGCCUUUUGUAGAAUGAACCGGCGAGUUACGUUAUGGUGCAAGGUUAAGUCAGAAAAGACGGAGCCGGAGCGAAAGCGAGUCUGAAGAGGGCGAGAGAGUAUCAUGACGUAGACCCGAAACCAAGUGACCUACCCAUGACCAGGUUGAAGGCGUGGUAAAACACGCUGGAGGACCGAACCCACGUGAGUUAAAAAUCGCGGGGAUGAGUUGUGGGUAGCGGUGAAAUUCCAAACGAACUUGGAGAUAGCUGGUUCUCUCCGAAAUAGCUUUAGGGCUAGCCUCGUGUGAAUGAUAAUGGAGGUAGAGCGCUGUUUGGACUAGGGGCCCGUCAGGGGUUACUGAAUCCAGAUAAACUCCGAAUGCCAGAUAUCAAUGCACGGGAGUCAGACUGCGAGUGAUAAGAUCCGUAGUCGAAAGGGAAACAGCCCAGAUCACCAGUUAAGGUCCCCAAAUCUAUGCUAAGUGGAAAAGGAUGUGGAGUUGCGUAGACAACUAGGAUGUUGGCUUAGAAGCAGCCACCAUUUAAAGAGUGCGUAAUAGCUCACUAGUCGAGUGACGCUGCGCCGAAAAUGUACCGGGGCUAAGCAUAGUACCGAAACUGUGGAUGCAUAUCAAAGGAUAUGCGUGGUAGGAGAGCGUUCUAAGAGCGGCGAAGUUAGAUCGAGAGGACUAAUGGAGCGCUUAGAAGUGAGAAUGCCGGUAUGAGUAGCGAAAGAUAGGUGAGAAUCCUAUCCGCCGAAAGACUAAGGUUUCCUGGGGCAGGCUCGUCCGCCCAGGGUAAGUCGGGACCUAAGGUAAGGCCGAGAGGCGUAGCCGAUGGACAACAGGUAGAGAUUCCUGUACUGAAAUUGUUCGAUAAGAGCAAAGGAGGGACGCAGGAGGCUAAUGACGCAUGUAGCUGGAAAAACAUGUGCAAGCAGUAAGAAAAAAGAUGAGUCAAAUGCUUAUGUUUAGAUUUCAAGCUGUGACGCGGAGUGAAAUCAAAGUAGCGAAGGUCAUGAUGUCACACUGCCAAGAAAAGCUUCUAGCCAGAGCAAUUUUACCCGUACCGCAAACCGACACAGGUAGUCGAGUGGAGAACACUCAGGUGAGCGAGAGAACUCUCGUUAAGGAACUCGGCAAAAUGACCCCGUAACUUCGGGAGAAGGGGUGCUGAUGGUAAAAGAUCAGCCGCAGUGAAUAGGCCCAAACAACUGUUUAUCAAAAACACAGGUAUCUGCAAAAUCGUAAGAUGACGUAUAGGUGCUGACACCUGCCCGGUGCUGGAAGGUUAAGAGGAGAGCUUAGCGCAAGCGAAGGUUUGAAUUGAAGCCCCAGUAAACGGCGGCCGUAACUAUAACGGUCCUAAGGUAGCGAAAUUCCUUGUCGGGUAAGUUC